rnacentral:lncRNA from 1 species
UAUCCCUCACUGAGCUUAGUGUCUGCUGAAAAGAGACAGGGUGUAUGCAGACACCUCCAACAGUGGUGAGUAACUUGUCCCAACCUUCCCCACAGGCCGAGGACACUGGUUAGUGUCUCGCAAAGGCAACAUGAAGAAGAGUGUGACUAAGGCAUCCCCUGAAAGCCAGGAACACCAGAAGAAAGUUUCCUUUGAUACUGGGUUGAAGAAAGUAACUCAGCGGGAUAGCCAGACAGACAUUCUUGGACACAUCUUGGACCGGGCUUUUCUGCUGAAGCACCAUUGUGUAAGAAAGCCAUCAGACCUUUGCACUGUCAACGUGAGCGGCAUGAAGUUCUCCAAGGUGAGGCCAUCAGCAAAGAUGUGACAGAGCCAGAUGUGAGGGGGCACCUGGAAGCUCUGGUUUGUGUAUGGCACCUCCAUAGUUCCUGGGCACUAGAAAUCAGUUAUGUAGAAAGAGGGAGGACAAGCCGGGCGUGGGUGGCGCACGCCUUUAAUCCCAGCACUCGGGAGGCAGAGGCAGGCCGGAUCUCUGUGAGUUUGAGGCGAGCCUGGUCUCCAGAGCGAGUGCCAGGAUAGGCUCCAAAGCUACACAGAGAAACCCUGUCUCGAAAAACAAAAAAACCAAAAAGAAAGAAAGAGGGAGGACAGAGGGCAAACAAGGGUUCACUGGGUGCUAUAAAUUUGGUAUUCAUAUGAAUUAGAAAAACUCACCUAAGGAAUCUGUUCUUGAGACUGGGGCAUAGAACAUGGUGUGAAUUGGCCAGGAAAUGUGAGUAGAGUGUGAUUCCUUGUGUGGAAUGCUCUUUACAUGAGCUUACCAUCUGGUAGGAGUAAAGAAACUCUUAUGAUGAGGAGGAAUGUACAAGAAUGUAUAUGGCACCAUUGUUUCUAAUGAUGGAAAUUUUGAAACAGAUAAUUAUGCUCCCACUCGGAAAGGAUAAUUUGUCAUAUACUCAAGCAAGGAAUUCAAAUAAAUGAACUGGACCUAUAUGUGUUAACACAUAUAAAGCUCCAAAGAGUUAUACAUAUCUCACAUAAAUCUCUAAAUCAUACUAUUGAGUAAAAAGGGCAUAU